GCCAAGAUGGCCGAGUGGUUAUGGCGAUGGGCUUAAGUCACGUGCUUGAUUUCCAUUAUCGAGAGAUUCCUGGGUUCGAACCCCAGUCUUGGCA
rnacentral:tRNA from 1 species